GACGAACGCUGGCGGCGUGCUUAACACAUGCAAGUCGAACGGAAAGGCCCUGCUUUUGUGGGGUGCUCGAGUGGCGAACGGGUGAGUAACACGUGAGUAACCUGCCCUUGACUUUGGGAUAACUUCAGGAAACUGGGGCUAAUACCGGAUAGGAGCUCCUGCUGCAUGGUGGGGGUUGGAAAGUUUCGGCGGUUGUGGAUGGACUCGCGGCUUAUCAGCUUGUUGGUGGGGUAGUGGCUUACCAAGGCUUUGACGGGUAGCCGGCCUGAGAGGGUGACCGGCCACAUUGGGACUGAGAUACGGCUCAGAAUGGUACGGGAGGCAGCAGUGGGGAAUAUUGCGCAGUGGGCGGAAGCCUGAUGCAGCAACGCCGCGUGCGGGAUGACGGCCUUCGGGUUGUAAACCGCUUUCGCCUGUGACGAAGCGUGAGUGACGGUAAUGGGUAAAGAAGCACCGGCUAACUACGUG
rnacentral:rRNA from 1 species